GGGUGACUAGCUCAACGGUAGAGCAGUAGACUCUUAAUCUAUUGGUUGCGGGUUCAAAUCCCUCGUCACCCACCA
rnacentral:tRNA from 1 species